rnacentral:rRNA from 1 species
AGAAUCAACGCUGGCGGCGUGCCUAACACAUGCAAGUCGAACGAGAAAGUGGAGCAAUCCAUGAGUACAGUGGCGACCGGGUGAGUAACACGUGACUACCUACCCUUGAGUGGGGGAUAACCUCGGGAAACCGAGGCUAAUACCGCAUAAUAUCGAGAGAUCAAAGGAGCAAUUCGCUUUUGGAGGGGGUCGCGGCUGAUUAGCUAGUUGGCGGGGUAAUGGCCCACCAAGGCGAAGAUCGGGUA